rnacentral:tRNA from 9 species
GGUGAGAUGGCCGAGCGGUCUAAGGCGCUACGUUCAGGUCGUAGUCUAGUAAUAGGCGUGGGUUCGAAUCCCACUCUCAUCA